rnacentral:rRNA from 1 species
AUGAAGGCACGGCAGUUGGUGAACGUGGUGAUGCGGAGGUACGGCAUGGGCAGCAGCCUCUAUGCGGUGAGCCGCAUCAAGCCCGAGGAGCAGCUCUUCUACCCAUCUACCAAGGAGGCGCAAGCAUCCAGCACGGGGGAGAUGGAGACCAUCUCCAUCUCCAGGAUGCCCGCGCCCAGCCUGAGGCUGGAGCUCUCCGUCUCCAAGGAGGACAAGAGGCUGGAUUUCCUGCCUUUCUACGAGCGCGGCAGCGGCGGGCACAGCAAGAUCCUCUGCGUGGACGCCGAGGGCCGCACCGUCCUGUACGACACCGACGCCGGCCUCCUCCACUCGAUGCCCUGCCUCGGCACCCCCAAGGGGCCCAACCCUGUCUCCUUCUCCAUCCUGGACAGGGAGCCCCGGGAUCCCGGGCGGGCGGACGCCUUGUACGUCAUGGGCAGGUGCUGCGACUACUUUGACUUCGAGGCCCUCAUGUAUUGCGACCCCUCCAGCGGCAGGAAAGGCUGGCGGUGGCAUCAGCUCCCGCCGCCGCCUGUGCCUCGCGCCGCCGCCUCCGCCGUCGGGUGCCACGCGCUCAUCCACGACGAAGGCGACCCCAUCCUCGUCGUCUCGUCCGCCAAGACGAGCGGCGUUGGCACCCACUGCUUCAACACGUCCACCAAUAGGUGGUUCAAGGCUGGACGCUGGACGCUGCCUCUCGUCGGCCGCGCCGAGCGUGUUAGCGAGCUCGACAACCUCUGGUUUGGCAUCGGCGGCGGCUGGCCCUACGACCUGUGCGCGAUGGACCUCUACUCCCUCCGCGCCGCCGGCGCCGAGGCUCCGGGGCUGGCGUACAGCUGGGGAGACCUUAGCCUGCCGGACGACUGGGUGAUGAUGGACUGCAGCAUGGUGUACCUGGGCGGCGGCAAGUUCUGCGUCGCGAAAAUCUUUGAGUUCUGCGUCGGCGAUGACCGAUUGGGGAUGGGUGCUGUCAUCUCUGGCUUGGAGGUGGUGCGCCGCGGCGAGCCAUCCAAACUCGUGAUGGUCAAGCACAAGUCCAAGUUCUACAAGUUUACCAGGGAUGAGAUCGAGUGUAUCCUCUAG